CUUUGACGGGUCAAAGAGGUGCAGUUGCACCUUCCCUCGUUGGAAAAAGUUUUCGAGGCGCUGGAGUUGCCCCUCUGCUAUGCUGCCUACCAACUGCUCGAGCAAAUGCCUGAACAAUAUUCUUCUUUCACUGGCUGUGUUGCUACGCUGUUGGGUUUUGCACAGCGCCUUAACUUUUUUUAAAAAGUCCUGGCCAAAACGAUGUUGUUUUGGUCCAAGCGAGAAAAAAAAAAUUGCAAACUGCCGACACGGAACAAAAGCCUCCCAAUUCAAUUUGAAGAAGCCGUGCAAGGUGAUAUUACUGAUAUGCAACAAAACUCAAUUUGCUUUUAGUCAUGCAAGAUGCCCCAUCUCAAAUCCUAAUAUGAAUUUCAACGGAGAUGGAGUCCUUGCUUUUGCUUUAAAAUUUGAAUUUCAGCAAUUUUAGGUCCGGUUCCUUUCCUUUCUUUUUUUUAAAUGAUAAGUUUUUAUUCACACAUUGGCCAAUAUCAAAACCAUUAUUGUUGUUUUCUUUUUGUAGAGAACUCCAAGUCUUUUAUAAAAACUGAAUCAUCGAUCAAGUCUUGUGCCAAGGAAGAAAAUAUUGUAUCGAUCAAGCUACCAAAGUGUAUUCGAAUGUAAUUCAUAGUUAAUCUAGAAAAGAUUUUUUUUUUUAAAAAAAAAAGAUGAAACAUGCUGGGCUUUUUUUCUUCUUUUUUUUUUUUCUUCAUCAACCGUGCCAAUUUCAUUUUUGGCAUAUAAAUUAAAUUAGCAUUGUUUAAAUUAUAAGGCUAUUUGAUUGUUAAUUUUUUUUCAAAACUUUUAGUCUUUCAAAAUUGCACCUCUGCCGAAAAAUUCCUGGGUUCGCCAGUGAACCCAUCUGCUUCUAUUUAUAUUUACAUUGCCUUGUUUGUUAUUAAUCUUGGAAGUUAGCUCAUUCACAGUUUAAUAACAAAUUAGGUAGCUAACUUAAGCAAAAAUAUUUCCCACACAAAUAAACCAAAUCAUAUUUCAGCUCUUAAAUUAAGGGACGAGAUGUUCACGAGAACAAAUAAUUCAUUAAGACAGGUCUUUUUUAAAAGAAGAAUUGAAUAAGACGGGUGUUAGAUGCUCUUGUUCAAAGUUGUUUACCUUCAUCAUACCAACUAAUUGCAAAGCAUUCUCUGCAGAAAAUUAUAGACCUUAAGGGCAAUUGCAGCGCACAAGCCUUGCCAGGGCUGAGGACGUGAGUAAUGGAAUGGACAGUUAGAAGAUGGAAGUGGGAUCCACAAGUGCGAUUUCCUUUUCCUAAUGUUUCCCGAAUUUGUCAAAAUAUAUAUAUAUAUAUAUAUAUAUAUAAAAUCAAAUAGUAGUAGUUUUAACUUUUAUGUGGGUUUUAGUUUUACGGACA
rnacentral:lncRNA from 1 species